rnacentral:tRNA from 1 species
GCCUGGGUGGCUCAGUCGGUUGAGCAUCUGACUUCGGCUCAGGUCAUGAUCUCACAGUUUGUGGGUUCGAGCCCCACAUCAGGCU